GGAGAGAUGGCCGAGUGGUUGAUGGCUCCGGUCUUGAAAACCGGUAUAGUUCUAACUAUCGAGGGUUCGAAUCCCUCUCUCUCCU
rnacentral:tRNA from 6 species